UUACGACCAUAUCAUAUGGCAACACCGGUUCUCGUCCGACCACCGAAGUUAAGCAACGUCGACACUGGUCAGUACCUAGAUGGAUAACCGCUUAAGAAUACCAGGUACUGUAA